UUCUACAUAUCAACUAAGCUACUUCACUCACUUAUUUAAGCUACUUCACUUCAUUCUUCCCAUAAUAUCUAGGAUGGCUUCUUCACACAUUGCCAUACUUUUCUGUCAAUAAUUUAAACAGGACUAUGAACAUGCACUUAUUCCCACCCAAGCUCAAGGGUGUGUAGUUGCUGAGCCUACAUACCCCGGUAAAUGUAUUAACACUAACGAUUGUAACAAUUAUUGUGAGUUUGUAAAACAUUUUCUCGGCGGUAGAUGCGGACCUGUUUACCAAUGUCUGUGUAGGAGAUGUUAAGUCUCUGGAAUUUUAUUUUUCAUGAAUAAAAUGAGUAUAUUUGGAGUAAAAGUAAUGCCUAAACCAUCAUAUUAUUGUGUAUACCUUUUUAUGACUUCUGUAUGGGUAAAUGACUGUUCUAUUUGAAAUGAAUGGUUAUAGAUAAAGUUGUUAUUCACUUGCAUUCUUUUACUUGAACAAUUAGUCAAAGAUUGACAAGAUCCUUUAUCCUUGAAAUGACAAGAGGUACACUCCAGCAUGAACCUUAGUUGAAGGUAGAUGACACAAUUGCUAAGAUUUCAGGCCAUCUAAUAGAAUUACUGUUUAUAAGGCAUCCCAACAAGCAGUGAUUUUAACCAUAUAACUGAAUUUUGAGAUAUGGUUGGUUCUAUGCGGACCAAAAUUAUAUAGUGCAUAAGAGAGGAAAUAAAUAAAUAAGAUUCAACUCUAUGAUCUACUUACACUCAUGGAGUAUUUCGAUUUUUAGGAAUGCUUUUAUUUUUAGAAAUAAUCAAGUGGACAUGAAUUUGAUAAAACUAACAACAUUCAAUAUUUUUUUUGGAUUAGUC